AUGAACGCUGGCGGCGUGCCUAAUACAUGCAAGUCGAGCGAACGGACGAGAAGCUUGCUUCUCUGAUGUUAGCGGCGGACGGGUGAGUAACACGUGGAUAACCUACCUAUAAGACUGGGAUAACUUCGGGAAACCGGAGCUAAUACCGGAUAAUAUUUUGAACCGCAUGGUUCAAAAGUGAAAGACGGUCUUGCUGUCACUUAUAGAUGGAUCCGCGCUGCAUUAGCUAGUUGGUAAGGUAACGGCUUACCAAGGCAACGAUGCAUAGCCGACCUGAGAGGGUGAUCGGCCACACUGGAACUGAGACACGGUCCAGACUCCUACGGGAGGCAGCAGUAGGGAAUCUUCCGCAAUGGGCGAAAGCCUGACGGAGCAACGCCGCGUGAGUGAUGAAGGUCUUCGGAUUGUAAAACUCUGUUAUUAGGGAAGAACAUAUGUGUAAGUAACUGUGCACAUCUUGACGGUACCUAAUCAGAAAGCCACGGCUAACUACGUG
rnacentral:rRNA from 1 species